UUGGUUUUCUUAACAUUUCGACAUUGUUUUUCUUUUUUUUUUUACUUGUGGUUCGAACACUGUCUUAAAAUGUUAAGAUUUUUCAGUUAAGAGAGUUUUUAUAUAAACACAGUUCUAUAGAAAUAAUUAUCCAAACUUUUUUCAACAGCAGGUGGUUUUAGACGCUAUGCAGUUUCGCCUGACACAAAUCUUUGUCUUCUUGGGAAUAUGCCUAUUACUCUCCCCGCAGUUUUCUGAAGGUGCCUUGGGGAAAAAAAUUCUAAAGUGGUUUCUGAAAAGAAGAGAUAUAAUGCUUUUCCCCAUCCCCAUCCCUUUCUGGACGGAAGUCGGCUUCAAAUGGCAACAGCAAGAUGUCAUACACUCAUCACCCGACUACUAUCCACCCAAUCCACCUAAUCCACCAUACGCCCCAUUUCCACAUGAUGUGUAUUAUCCUUAUUAUUGAAUAAAAAUUAUUAGAG